rnacentral:rRNA from 1 species
GUGUCAGCAGCCGCGGUAAUACGAAGGGUGCAAGCGUUACUCGGAAUUACUGGGCGUAAAGCGUGCGUAGGUGGUGGUUUAAGUCUGCUGUGAAAGCCCUGGGCUCAACCUGGGAAUUGCAGUGGAUACUGGAUCACUAGAGUGUGGUAGAGGGAUGCGGAAUUUCUGGUGUAGCAGUGAAAUGCGUAGAGAUCAGAAGGAACAUCCGUGGCGAAGGCGGCAUCCUGGGCCAACACUGACACUGAGGCACGAAAGCGUGGGGAGCAAACAGGAUUAGAUACCCGGGUAGUCC